CUAUAGACUAAAGACACU
rnacentral:snRNA from 1 species